GUCUUCAAAUGCUCUGAUUGAUUUUCCGGUUUGGAAUUUUGUGCAACCAAUUCGGAUUUGAGGUUGUGAUAACUUGAUCACUUGAUCAAUAUAAGAUGUCUCCAGCCAAUUUGGAUUUGGAUUUGAGGUUCUCUAUUAAUCCUGGAAAUUUCUCUUCUCAAUCCUGGAAAUUCCAAUACUAUUCAUACAAACUGAACAAAAUAAGCUUAAUGUAGAGAAAGAGAGGUCAUAUAUGAAAGGACAGUUUGCAGUAAUGUUUAGUUUGAGAUUGUUUUGUUGAUUUACUUGCACACUGUACAGCUGCAUAAAUUAUUUCAAGCCUACCAUGCUCAUCUGUUUUUAACCUAGCCUUCCUUAUUAUGAUUGGAGAUCAAAAUUUGUAGAAUCUGUGAUUAUUUACUAUGAAACACAAACAUACAAAUUAGACUUAGUUCGGUUAAAAACAAGUUAUGAAAUAGAUUGCUCAUUUCAUUAUGUGUACUCUUACUGUGAAAUAGAUUGCUCAUUUCAUAAUAAGUAAACUCAGCUUUAGUAGGAGUUUAAAGCCUUAGAUGUUGUAUUCAUUUUUCAACUUCCCCGAUUUCCGGUUUACUUUCUGUAGAAUAUGAUUGGUUUUGUUUAUUACCUGUUUGUUUGUACUGCAUUUUUUGUUCCUUUCUGAGUUGAGUGUAUUACUGUGGCUAUCUCUUGAUGGUUUUUGUGUGUUGUUGAUAACUUGCUUCAUGAAGCCACUAGGAAUCUAGAAAGUUUGAUAUUUUUCCCCCAGACCCUUAGAAGCAAGAAAGAUAUUCAAGGGAGGCUUGACAAAGAAGUUCUUUGCUUUGCUCAACUCACCAGCAUUGGUAAGUACUCAUUGAAUUGAGUCACGAUCCUCUUUAAUAUUUUCAUUUCAAUCCUUAUGAUUUAGUUUAUUACUAAGCCUAAUAGUUUACUUAGGUUCAUGUAACUGCAAAUUUUACCCUUUUUUUAUUUUUAUUU
rnacentral:lncRNA from 1 species